UCAAGAAAAUUACACAUGUCGACCACCCUUUUCGCUUUACUUCCUUCUGCACCGUGUUGCUUGUCGCCGCAAUUUCUUUACUUUUAGAUUGUCAAUGGAAGUUUGUGGAUUUUCGGACCGUAGAACUAGCAAUGACUGUUCUUAUCUCAGUACGAAAUGUGAAGCUGCUCUGCGGUUAAUGUUGUUUCAGUAUUCGGGCAUUUAUCGAAUUAGUUUGUUGAUACUAAGCUGCCAGUAGUGCUUUUGCGAUUCUUGGGCGUAUUUUUCGUUUGACAUCUAUAUGUUCUUAACCAAUUUCCCCUGAAGAUGGUUAUUCUUGGUUUUUGCUCAUCAGCUUAGCUUUUACUGGACCAACUAGAUGCCUUUUUGUAUAAAUAGAAGCGACUAUUUCCCGGUCAAAUUAUGGUCACCACUUUGAUAUUAGUCCUCUAUAGUCUCUUGUCUUGUUUACAGCUGUUUGUGAAUUUUCUCCAUGGGAUUGCAUGGGGUGCUUCUUUCAUUAUUAUUAUUAUUAUUAUUAUUAUUUUGUGCUAGAUAAACAUAUUAGAGACUAGUAUUGGAUUGCUUUUUCAUGAAAAUUAUUCUAAGAUAUAUUGAAAUGGAGAAUUAGUUUGUAAUAUAAUUUAUAAUUUUUAGGGGGAACAAACGUACUGUCAAAGAGUUUGAUUAGUUACUUGGUGGUGUGAUAUAUGCUUAUAAAUUGGUCUUGUUAAAUUUAAUAUAUGUCAGGGAUGGAGUAUACCCAAGCCAUGUAUCUCGAAGAGUUGAACUACGUCAUUUAUUUUUGGAAAUUAUCGAUAAGCUUCCGAUUGCUUGGAGGAAUCACUUUUUGAUAUCGGGGAUCAGCUUGGAGGACUAGGUAGGAACCUUAGUUAUUUAAUAGAUAUCCUUUCUGUAUAGAAUGGACUUUAGAAUGUUACGACCUGAAGAUUUUGUUUAGUUGUAUCACUGAUGUGAGAGCGAAAAAGAAAUCUCCGGAAAAGUGUAUAUACCUAUUAGAGUUGAUGGAUUGGUUAUAUACUUUGGAAAUUUAUGAGAAGUAAGUUUUUAUGUGA